rnacentral:lncRNA from 1 species
AUGAAGGUGACAGUCAUUGUAGCGAGUGCAAUAUUUAAUUAUCUGGUAUGUAUACAUCACAUUACUUUUUAAUCAAAUAAAACAAUAGAAAAUUAAUAUAGAAGUUUUUUUACAAGCGUAAAACUAUUCGUUGUACAUAGACAAGUUUCAGUAAUAAUCAUAAGAUUGGUCUGAGUUUAAUUAUCAUAGUUCUAGGCUAGUGUUUGAUAGUGUUAAAAUGCUUUUACCAUAAUAAAAGCUGCCUUAAAAUAUAUCAAAUCAAUAUACUGAUUAGGAAAACUUAUUCAUUUCGGAAUGUGAUUGAAUGCAUUUGUAUUAAUUCAACUAAUUUUGUUUCAAUUAGUUAUACUUUGAUGUUAGCCAGGCCAACUACAGUCUUAAAUGUCCCGAAAGAUCACACAGAAAAAUAAGAGCUAAUAGUAAAUGUAAAGGAGAUGCAGAUAAAUACCACUGUUUAUUUGACCCAAAUAGCGAGAACAUUACAGAAUUUUGUUCCAGUCCAAAAGAUUAUACAGCAGGU